CAGAAUUAGCAGGGAAAGAGGACACAAUUGAUCUUGACUCAGGGCUGUCUUUGGGAAAUUAAUUGCGAGGAUUCGUAUAAGUGGAAGUUGAAAGGUGAAAGUGAAAUACCACUAUUUUUCUGUAGGUCAAUUCGGGUGGAAGAUAUGGUCUACUGGGAGUUUUGCUGGGGAGGCACAUGUGUUAAAAGAUAAUACAUCUAUCCUAAGAUGUCCUCAACGCGAACAGAAAUCUUGUGUGGAACAGAAGGGUAAAAGCUCAUUUAUUUCUUAUUUCCACUAUGAAUACAAACUGUGAAAGUGUGUCCUAACGUUCUUUAGACCUUCAGAAUUCAAAGCUAGAGGUUUCAAAAUUGUUACUAGUGGGAUAACUUGCUUGUGGCAACCAAUGAUUCAUAGUGAAGUUGUUUUUUGAUCCUUUAAUGUUGGAUAUUCCUAUUAGUGUGAAGCAGAGUUCACCAAGUGUUGAAUUGUUCACCCCCCAAUUAGAAACGUGAGCUUAGUUUAGACCGUUUUGAGAUAGGUUAGUUUUACCCUAGUGAUUACAAUGUUUCCAUGGUAAUUUAACCUAGUACGAAAGGAAAUAUUGAUAAACACAAUUGGUCAUCGAACUUAGCUGAAAAGCCAAUGGCGUGAAGCUAAUGAGUGUUGGAUUAUAAGUGAAUGCAUCUAAGACAAAAUAUAGGCUAGAAGUGAUCCGAUUGUUGACCCGCAAGGCCACAUGUCUUUGUCUAAGUUGUCACGAUGGUAACCGCCUUGAAAUAUAAUUUCCAUUGAGUUGCGAGUAUAAUCUUUUGAAGACGACUUAAAAAUGUGAUAGGUUAUUGUAAGUGGCAGAGUGUCCUUGCUACCAUGAUCCAAUAAGAUUCACGUUUUUGUCACUUUGAUUC
rnacentral:ncRNA from 1 species